CAGUCGCCGCGGUAAGACAGAGGAUGCAAGCGUUAUCCGGAAUGAUUGGGCGUAAAGCGUCUGUAGGUGGCUUUUCAAGUCCGCCGUCAAAUCCCAGGGCUCAACCCUGGACAGGCGGUGGAAACUACCAAGCUGGAGUACGGUAGGGGCAGAGGGAAUUUCCGGUGGAGCGGUGAAAUGCGUAGAUAUUGGGAAGAACACCAGUGGCGAAGGCGGCUUUCUGGACGGCAACUGACACUGAGGCUCGAAAGCCAGGGGAGCGAACGGGAUUAGAUACCCGAGUAGUCCCUGUCUCUUAUAC
rnacentral:rRNA from 1 species